rnacentral:rRNA from 1 species
CGCGCAGGCGGGUUGGCAAGUCAGAGGUGAAAUCCUACAGCUUAACUGUAGAACUGCCUUUGAGACUGCUAAUCUUGAGUACGGAAGAGAGAGAUGGAAUUCCAGGUGUAGUGGUGAGAUACGUAGAUAUCUGGAAGAACACCAGUGGCGAAGGCGAUCUCUUGGUCCUUUACUGACGCUAAGGCGCGAAAGCGUGGGGAGCAAACA